AUGAACGGCGAGAUGAUGAUGCGGCCUCCCAUGCCUGCGCCGUACCAGGUGUGGGCGGCGGCGCUGGCGCAGCAGCAGCAGCAGCAGCAGCUCCCGCCGGUGGCCGUGGCGGAGGCGCCGCCGGCGGGGUUCAAGCCGGCGAGGCCCGCGUGGAAGCGGGCGGCGCGGCAGCAGCCCGGGUGGAAGCAGCGCAAGGCCGCGGCCCAGGCGCAGGGGAGGUGGGGCGGGUCGGCGGCGCCGCGCAACACGACGUCGUACCUGAUCCGGGCCAAGCGGGCCGGGGGCGUGGCGUCGCUGGUGUCGCCGUGCCCCGUGACGCCCGCCGUGCUGCCGACGCCGCGGCUGUCGCCGGCGCGGGAGGUGCUGGUGGAGAUGGCCAAGGAGGCGUGGGGCGUCGACGGGUACGGCUCUAUGAAGGGCCUCAUCCGCCUCCGCCCCCAGGCCGCCGGCCCCGACGCCGGCGACGGCGACGGCGCUGACUCGGGCUCCGGCGAGAGCGACGUGGAGGAGCACGUGGAGGUGGAGCGCCGCCUCGACCACGACCUCAGCCGCUUCGAGAUGGUGCAGCUCCCCGCCGCGCCCGCCGGCGAGGACGACGAGGACGAGGACGCCCGCGCGGCCCGGCUGGAGGAGGAGAACCUGACCCUCCGCGCGCGGCUCUUCCUGGUGGAGCGCGACAUGGCCGACCUCCGCCGCCGCCUCGUCGCCGUCGAGUCCCUCUGCCGCGACCGCCACCGCGACGGCUGCGUCGUCGACGCCGCCCUGCCGCCCCCCUCCAACAGCGACGAGGCGGACGCCACCGAGGACGCCAUGGUACUCUGA
rnacentral:rRNA from 1 species